rnacentral:lncRNA from 1 species
GAAAAACCAAAAAAUCUUGAAAAGACAGUUUGUAUCAGUUCAAACUGUAUGUAACUGACAAAAAUCAGUCUGUAAAAGAGAGACGAAAGAAAUCAGAGGAACAGUCAAACUCAUAAAUCGAAAAUAAACUGACAACGCCAAGGCCAAAAAUGAAAUAGACAAACAGACAAAAAAUAGUACACAUGACACAACAUAGAAAACUAAAGAAUAAACAACACGAACCUCA